rnacentral:misc_RNA from 1 species
AGGUGAACCUGCGGAAGGAUCAUUACUGUAUUCUAAUUGCCAGCGCUUAAUUGCGCGGCGAUUAAACCUUACACACAAUGUUUUUCUUUAUUAGAAACUAUUGCUUUGGCUUGGCUAAGAAAUUAGUCGGGCCAGAGGUUUACACAAACUUCAAUUUUUAAUUGAAUUGUUAUUUAAUACUUUGUCAAUUUGUUGAUUAAAUUCAAACAAUCUUCAAAACUUUCAACAACGGAUCUCUUGGUUCUCG